rnacentral:tRNA from 1 species
GGCAGUUUAGCUUAAUAGUAAAGCACUCUGCUGAAGUCUUUAGGGAUGUGGGUUUGAGUUCCGUAACUGUUU